UUGAUCCUGGCUCAGGACGAACGCUGGCGGCGUGCCUAAUACAUGCAAGUCGAGCGAGCUGAAUUCAAAGAUCCCUUCGGGGUGAUUUGUUGGACGCUAGCGGCGGAUGGGUGAGUAACACGUGGGCAAUCUGCCCUAAAGACUGGGAUACCACUUGGAAACAGGUGCUAAUACCGGAUAACAACAUGAAUCGCAUGAUUCAAGUUUGAAAGGCGGCG
rnacentral:rRNA from 1 species